UAGAAUAUGGUGUAAUAUGGUAGCAUAGAAAGCUUUGAAUUCUUAGGGGUAGAUUCAAUUCCUAUAAUACUAG
rnacentral:tRNA from 1 species